rnacentral:misc_RNA from 1 species
UUUCCGUAGGUGAACCUGCGGAAGGAUCAUUCAUAAUAAAGUGUUUUAUGGCACUUUUUAAAAAUCCAUAUCCACCUUGUGUGCAAUGUUAGAUCUCGUCAAUCUUGGCGAGGUUUUUAUACAUCAACUCAUUCUUUAACUAAUUUGUCUGAAAAAUAUUAUGAAUACUUAAUUCAAAAUACAACUCUCAACAACGGAUCUCUUGGCUCUC